rnacentral:misc_RNA from 1 species
UCAAACUUGGUCAUUUAGAGGAAGUAAAAGUCGUAACAAGGUUUCCGUAGGUGAACCUGCGGAAGGAUCAUUACCGAGUUGUGGGGCUCUUGGCCCAUUACUCCUACCCUAUGUUGACUUGAAGACUGUUGCUUCGGCGGGGGACCGCCGGAGGCAUCAUCAAAACCGUCUUGAACCGUGGCGUCUGAGUCUGAGAUAAUGGAACGAAAACUUUCAACAACGGAUCUCUUGGUUCUGGCAUCGAUGAAGAACGCAGC